GGGGUCUUCCAGGAGCUGCGGCAGACCUCGGGGGCGCUUACCUUGUAGGGGCCAUCAGAAGAUCCAGGGGCAAGAGGAGUUGCUCCUGGGUGCUGGCAGGAGACUGGAACUGGAAGCAAGAAAGAGAUGAGGAGGAAGAAUCAGGUACAAGGAGAAACUUGGGGAAGGACACAAGAGAAAAUGACAAAAAAGUCUGUGACCUUUCAUUACAUUUGCACAGGCAUCAAUGUUUCCAUUACUGAUCACCUUAGACCUAAAGCUGCGUGCUUCCUGUG
rnacentral:lncRNA from 1 species